AGCGAACGCUGGCGGCAGGCUUAACACAUGCAAGUCGAACGGUCCUUCGGGAUAGUGGCGGACGGGUGAGUAACACGUGGGAACGUACCCUUAGGUUCGGAACAACACAGGGACACUUGUGCUAAUACCGGAUAAGCCCUUCGGGGGAAAGAUUUAUCGCCUUUGGAGCGGCCCCCGUCUGAUUAGCUUGUUGGUGAGGUAAGGGCUCACCAAGGCUACGAUCAGUAGAUGGCCUGAGAGGAUGGCCGGCCACACUGGGACUGAGACCCGGCCCGAAGUCCGACGGAAGGCAGCAGUGGGGAAUCUUGCGCAAUGGGCGAAAGACUGACGCGGCCAUGCCGCGUGGAUGAUGAAGGUCUUAGGAUUGUAAAAUCCUUUCACCGGGGACGAUAAUGACGGUACCCGGAGAGGAAGCCCCGGCUAACUUCGUGCAAGCCGCCGCCGUAA
rnacentral:rRNA from 1 species